rnacentral:lncRNA from 1 species
GUAUCAGUGAUUGUAAUCAUCCUUUUUUUUCGUUCUGCAAACCUGAUUCCUUUGUCGACUACUUGAUUCAUCUCAUGUGCACUGAGCCUUGAAUCAAAUCUUUUUUCUGAAUCUUAUGCAGUAUCUGAAUCAUCUUAGCUUCAGCUUUGAAGCUCUUGAUUCACCAUUGCAGACAAUCUCAUCAGCCCGUUAAGAACCACUGAAACCUGAGAUUACUUUUACAAACCUGUUUAACAAAACCAAUCCAGAACACAUCCUUUGUUCAACUGUUAUGUUUAAACAGCCUUUACCAGCAGAUUUUAACCACUACCAGCAAUCUUUAAACCUGUCUCACAUCAACAAGACCUUGUGAUAACCCUGAGACAAUCCUUACAGCACCUUUCACAUCCAUUCUAGAAUUCUGAUGCACUUUCUACUGUAGUACAGUCCUGCAAAACCUGCGGACCUCCACCAAAUGAUUUGAACCUUGCACCAUCCAAUUUUCAGACUUAACCAAAGUCUUUUUCUUCUUUAUCAUCAUAUGAUACUUGAAGAUACUCCACUUGAAUGGCCUGCAAGUAUCUUUCUCUGAGAGGAUACUUACAUAUACUCCCCUUUGAUGCAGACAACCAAAACUAAAAAAAAACUCCUUAGUUGUUGUCUUCCAAAUGCAUUCUCUGCAUUUACAUCCUUCAUAGGAUUCCUUUUUCAGUUACCAAGACCAGCUUUGAGAUGGGUUGUUAUCAAACUUGAUACACAACACUUUCACAUUCCCGAAGUGAACAGCCUUGAGACAACUCCUGCAACACUCGUGCUUGUCUCCUUUCAGUUUCUCCUUUAGAGAACUCACUUAACCACUUCAAUGUCUUCAUCUUUGUUUACAUCUUAGGAUCUUCUGAAAAAAGCUUUCAGAAACCUGCAACUCUUUCAUAGAAACCUGCAGCUCUGCUUCUGGAUAUCAUCACCAACAAUCAGCUUCAAAACCAAAAAUUGUAACCAGCCUUGUACCCUCAGACUAUAACCUUCUUUGAGCUGAAAAACCCGUUGAUAAUAAACUGUUCUUGACUUGUUUUCUUAUUAGCAUACUGAACUUCCAUGAAUCUGAUAAACUAGUGAGUUACACAGCCAUUUAACUCUUUUAUCUUCAGCUAACCUUCCGAGACACCAUCCACAAACAUAGCUCCACCAUGAAGGAAAAAAUAUCCUUAGAUAUGCAUUGCUCCUUUUGUAGCAACAAUACUCCACCUGAAACUAUAACCCUUGG